UACGUAGGUCCCGAGCGUUGUCCGGAUUUAUUGGGCGUAAAGCGAGCGCAGGUGGUUUAUUAAGUCUGGUGUAAAAGGCAGUGGCUCAACCAUUGUAUGCAUUGGAAACUGGUAGACUUGAGUGCAGGAGAGGAGAGUAGAAUUCCAUGUGUAGCGGUGAAAUGCGUAGAUAUAUGGAGGAACACCGGUGGCGAAAGCGGCUCUCUGGCCUGUAACUGACGUUGAGGCUCGAAAGCGUGGGGAGCAAACAGG
rnacentral:rRNA from 1 species